AAGGGGAGCAGCCCAAACCGUGGGGAUUAAUCCUUGCGGGGUUAGGACUCAGACGUGGACUUAUAUUGGAUAGAAGAACGGUGUGGAAAAGCCGGCCAAAGAGGGUGAGAGUCCCGUAUUUGAAAUUUAAUAUAUACCUAUGAGUAUCCAGAGUAGCACCGGACACGUGAAACCUGGUGUGAAAGAGUGCAGACCACUGCAUAAGGCUAAAUACAAGGUGUCGACCGAUAGUGAACAAGUACCGUGAGGGAAAGGUGAAAAGGACCCCUGUUAGGGGAGUUAAAAGUACCUGAAACCUGUUGCCUACAAGCGGUCAGAGCCCCCUUGUGGGGUGAUGGCGUACCUUUUGCAUAAUGGGCCUAGGAGUCUAUGUCAGUUGCGAGCUUAAGCGUUUACGACGUGGAGGCGAAGCGAAAGCGAGUCUGAAUAGGGCGGUAGUAACUGGGAUAGAACCCGAAGCGGAGGCGAUCUAGCCAUGGCCAGGCUGAAGCAUCGGUAACACGAUGUGGAGGGCCGAACCCAUUAACCUUGAGAAGUUAAGGGAUGAGCUGUGGUUAGGAGUGAAAGGCUAAUCAAGCCCCGUAAUAGCUGGUUCUCUCCGAAAUAUAUUUAGGUAUAGCGUCAAAUGCUGAUUACCGGGGGUAAAGCACUGAAAAGGCUAGGGUUCACACCAGAAUACCGAACCUUAUCAAACUCUGAAUACCGGUGAGUGGAAUUUGGCAGUCAGUCAGUGGGGGAUAAGCUUCAUUGGCGAGAGGGAAACAUCCCAGACCAUCGAAUAAGGUCCCAAAGAUAGUGCUAAGUGGUAAGAAGGAUGUAAGUUUUCAUAGACAAUGGGGAUGUUGGCUUAGAGGCAGCCAUCAUUUAAAAAGUGCGUAAUAGCUUACCCAUCGAGAGAAUUUGCGCCGAAAAUGAUCGGGACUAAGUACUACACCGAAUUUGUGGAAUUAGUAAUAAUUGGUAGGAGAGCGUUCCAACAUCGUAGAAGGCGGAGCGGUGAGCGACGUUGGAGAGGUUGGAAGUGAGAAUCUAGGCAUGAGUAACGAAAAGCAUGGUUAAAAUCCAUGCCGCCGUAAGGAUAAGGUUUCCUGGGGAAGGUUCGUCCGCCCAGGGUUAGUCGGGAGCUAAGGCGAGGCCGUAAGGAGUAGUCGAUGCACAACGGGUUAAUAAUCCCGUACCGGCUUGGUAAUGUUUGAGUUGCAUAUUGACGGAUGAGUGGAUGCUGGCGAGGUGAUGAACGUCCUCGUCUAAGGUGUUGGAAGGCACUGAUGGGACUUUGAGGCUACGGCCGAGGGGGAUCAGCAAUAGCUAAUUCCAGGAAAAUUUAUGCAAUUAAUUAUCAGGUUGCCCGUACCGCAAACCGACACAGGUAUCCGGGAUGAGUAUUCUAAGGCGCGUGAGUUAAAUCUCUCCAAGGAACUCGGCAAAAUGGCCCCGUAUCUUCGGUAGAAGGGGUGCCAACGCGAGUUGGUCUCAGUAAAGAGGCCCAACCGACUGUUUAUCAAAAACACAGCUCUCUGCCAAGUCGCAAGACAACGUAUAGGGAGUGACAUGUGACCAAUGCGGAAAGGUGAAAACUGCUUGUGAAAGCUUGUGGUCUAAGCCCCCGUGAAUGUCGGCCGUAACUAUAACGGUCCUAAGGUAGCGAAAUUCCUUGUCGGGUAAGUUCCGACCUGCACGAAUCAUGUAACGAGUUGGGUGCUGUCUCAGGGAGAAGCUCAGUGAAAUUGUAGUCGCGGUUAAGAUGCCGCGUACCCGCAGAAGGACGGAAAGACCCUAUGAACCUUUACUGUAAACUGAUAUUGUCGUUUGAUUUUUAAUACGUAGGAUAGCCGGGAGGCUAUGAGUUGUCACUCCAGGGUGAUGAUGAGCCGCAAUGUGAAAUACCGGUUUUUAACUAUUAGGCGUCUAACCACAUACCGUGAGCCGGUUGUGGGACAGUGUUAGUGGGUCAGUUUGACUGGGGCGGUCUCCUCCUAAAAAGUAACGGAGGACUGCGAAGGUUCCCUCAGACCGGAUGGUAAUCGGUCGUCGAGGAUAUGGCUAAAAGGGAGCUUAACUGUGAGACCUACAAGUCGAGCAGAUGGGAAACCAGGCCCAAGUGAUCCGGCGAUAGCUCGUGGGAGCGUCGUCGCUUAUGGGACAAAAGGUACUCUAGGGAUAACAGGCUGAUUUCGCCCAAGCGUUCAUAGCGACGGCGAAGUUUGGCACCUCGAUGUCGGCUCAUCACAUCC
rnacentral:rRNA from 1 species